CCAAGUGUUGGAAAUUAAAGACGUAAUUUAUUGAGCACUUUCAUUGUAAAUAGCAUUACUCGAAGAAAAUACAGAUGUAGAAAUAUAAACAUAAUUUAUCGAAUACUUUCUAUUGCAAUUAGCAGAAUCUUUAUUUAAAAAACAAAAAAAAAAAAUUAUCUUAAGCGAUCCCAUCCUUUAAAAAACCGCUUUCAAAAUAAGUCAUAAACUUGCCUAAGAUAUGUGCAAUAAAACCGUCCUCUUCCUCCAUAUGCUCGAAAUCUAGAUCUGCAAGAUCAACUAGUUCCCCCUCAUCUUCUUCAAUCCCCAACAUCUUUUUAGGCAAUUUCUGUUUAUGUUUGGAUUCUUGAACAUUGGAAACUUGAGACUUGCUUUCCUGUCAUUUUUUUUUUCAUAUUUGCCCUCGUAUGGCCAGUAAAUGCAGUUGAACUUGCCUUGGUAGAGUCGAGGUUAGACUUUGUGUGGAUGGUAUGCGGAGCAGGCGGCAGCGACUUCAGUGACAGAGGAGGAAGGUGUAGGAGGAUUGCUAUAAUUACUCGAACUUUGAUUGGCACUGAACUGACCUCCCUCGAUUAUCAAUUAAACCAUGUUUGUCCCUUAAGGGCUUGCUUUUCUAGCUUAAAGUUUAUGAGCAUCUCUU
rnacentral:lncRNA from 1 species